rnacentral:rRNA from 1 species
AUGGCACUGCCCGGUAGCUAAAUGCGGAAGAGAUAAGUGCUGAAAGCAUCUAAGCACGAAACUUGCCCCGAGAUGAGUUCUCCCUGAGACUUUAAGUCUCCUGAAGGAACGUUAAAGACGAUGACGUUGAUAGGCCGGGUGUGUAAGCGCAGCGAUGCGUUGAGCUAACCGGUACUAAUGAACCGUGAGGCUUAACCUUACAACGCCGAAG